rnacentral:rRNA from 1 species
UACGAAGGGGACUAGCGUUGUUCGGAAUUAUUGGGCGUAAAGCGAACGUGAGGCGGUGUUCCAUGUCAGAGGUGAAAGCCUGGGCUCAACUCCAGAAUUGCCUUUGAAACGGGACGCUUGAGUCCGAGAGAGGAUGGCGGAAUUCCUAGUGUAGAGGUGAAAUUCGUAGAUAUUAGGAAGAACACCGGUGGCGAAGGCGGCCAUCUGGCUCGGUACUGACGCUCAGGUUCGAAAGCGUGGGAGCAAACAGG